UGCCUGGCGGCGAUAGCGCGGUGGUUCCACCUGACCCCAUGCCGAACUCAGAAGUGAAACGCCGUAGCGCCGAUGGUAGUGUGGGGUCUCCCCAUGCGAGAGUAGGGAACUGCCAGGCAU
rnacentral:rRNA from 1 species